UACAGAGGGGGCGAGCGUUGUUCGGAAUUAUUGGGCGUAAAGGGCGCGUAGGCGGUUCGGUAAGUCAGGUGUGAAAUCUCCUGGCUCAACUGGGAGCUUGCAGGCGAAACUGCCGUGCUGGAGUGUGGGAGAGGUGCGUGGAAUUCCUGGUGUAGCAGUGAAAUGCGUAGAUAUCAGGAGGAACACCUGUGGCGAAAGCGGCGCACUGGACCACAACUGACGCUGAGGCGCGAAAGCUAGGGGAGCAAACAGG
rnacentral:rRNA from 1 species